UUUUUUUUUUUUUUUUUUUUUUUGGUCUUUUUAGGGCUGCACUUGCGGCAUAUGGAAUUUCCCAGGCUAAGGGUCGAAUCAGAGCCAUAGCUGCCGGCCUACACCACAGCCACAGCAACACCGGAUCCUUAACCCACUGAGAGAGGCCAGGGAUUGAACCCGCAACCUCAUGGUUACCAGUCAGGUUCGUUACCGCUGAGCCACUAUGGGAACGAACUCCCUGUUUGCUUCCUUUACUGUCUCUACUGCCAAGAAUUUGAGCUCCAUGAAAACAAGGACCUGGUCUCCCUGUUCACCACUCAGCUCCUCAAAUAGUAUCUGGACCACAGGAGGCGCUCAGCAACUAUGUCUGUGUUGCACACAUCUGUUAAAUAACCUGUUGUGCGAAUAACGCUAUAAACCCAUGGUUUAAGCUAGGCCAAAAAAGGAAAAACCUGAUUUUACAUAAAAUAUUAAUUAGUGCUGGAGUACAAGUUUACAAAAGGAUUCCUCCCCUAAUGAAUUUUUAAACAUUUGCCUUACAAUGCUUUAGAGUACACGCUUUUUAACAGAUAAACCUUUUGUGCAAAAUGAAGUCCUCCAGGGCAUGAACAGUACCUGGUACACAGAAGGCACCUACAAAAUACCCACUAAACACAUACAUAAUAAUGCACAGGAAAACAGCUUGGCACAAGGCAUGAGCUAUAUGAAACUGCACUUGGCUCUAAGGACACAGCAAAUAUAGCUACAUUUAAGUCUGAUUUUCCAUUUCAUCUGAUAAACUGACACAUAUAUUUAAUAUCCACCAAUUAGAGACACUAGCAAUAAUCUUAGCCAUCAUUUUCAGGCAGGUGCAGAUCCCAGUAAAUUGAGAAAGUUACCUGGCAGUUCUGUUGCUGUUAGCCUUCACCAACAAGUAUAUGGAGGCACAGAAACAAUCAACAGAAAUACUCAAAACUGCCAGGCUGUUGGGAACAUCUGCAGGUUUAGCAUAAAAAAAAAAUCACAAAGCUUGAGAAAUUUGUUUUUAUUUACACACUGUAAUCUAGGUUAAAAACUCCAGUGUCCCAGUGAUGACUGAUCAAGAAACCACAGCUCAGGGAGUUCCCAUCGUGGCUCCGUGGUUGGCGAAUCCCACUAGGAAACAUGAGGUUGCGGGUUCGAUCCCUGGCCUUGCUCAGUGGGUUAAGGAUCUGGCAUUGCCAUGAGCUGUAGUGUAGGGCACAGACGCGGCUCAGAUCCCCCACUGCUGUCAGCGGCUACAGCUCAGACUAGACCGCUAGCCUGGGAACCUACAUAUGCAGCAGGAGUGGCCCUAGAAAAGGCAAAAAAAAAAAAAAAAGUUGCUAACAGCUCCUGUGGGUCAAAAAUUCAGGAGCAUCUUAGCCGGGUGCCUCUGAUUCAGGGCUAUUAGUCAGGGGCUGCUAUUAUCUCAAGACUUGGCUGAGACACAAGGAUCCACUUUCGAGCUCACACACGUAGUUGUUUCCAGGAUUCAGUCCCUUGCAAGCUGUUGGCCUUGGGGCCCCAGCCUCCUGCUGCAGCAUGUGGCUCUCCCUAUAGGGCUGCUCACAAAAUGGCAGCUGAGGAGUUUAGGUCGUGGCUCAGUGUUAAUGAACCCGACUAGGAUCCAUAAGCAUGUGGGUUUGAUCCCUCGCCUUGCUCAGUAGGUUAAGGAUCCGGUGUUGCCGUGAGCUGUGGUGUAGGUUGCAGACAUGGCUUGGAUCUGGUGUGGCUGUGGCUGUGGCGUAGGCCAGUAGCUGUAGCUCCAAUUGGACCCC
rnacentral:lncRNA from 1 species